UUAUCCUCAUACUUAUUUACUGUAAAGUAACAGUACGCAGGCGGUUAUUUAAGUCAUAUGUGAAAUCCUCGGGCUCACCGAGGGUAUGCUUCUGAAACUAAUUAGCUUGAGUCAAGGAGAAGAGAGCGUAAUUCCUGGUGUAGCGGUGAAUUGCUUAGAGAUCAAGAACAAUACCCGUGGCGAAAGCUGCUCUCUGGACUUGAACUGACGCUGAUGUGCGAAAGCGUGGGGAGCAAACAGGAAUAUAUACCCUGGUAGUCCACGCCGUAAACAAUGGAUACUAGGUGUGGGUGAUAAUUCAUCCUUGCCGGAGUAAACGCAAUAAGUAUCCCGCCUGGGGAGUACGGCCGCAAGGAUGAAAAUCAAUGGAAUUGACGGGGGGUCCGCCCAACCAGCGGAGCAUGUGGUGUAAUUAUAAGAAACGCGAAGAACCUUACCAGGGCUUGACAUCCACAGAAUCGGGUAGAAAUACCUGAGUGCCUUCUAUGAAGGAACUGUGAGACAGGUGGUGCAUGGUUGUAGUCAGCUGGUGUCGUGAGAUGUUGGGUUAAGUCCCGCAACGAGCACAACCCCUGUUGGUAGUUACCAGCGUGGAAAGACGGGGACUCUACCGAGACUGCCGUGGAAAACACGGAGGAAGGCGGGGAUGACGUCAAAUCAUCAUGCCCUAUAUGCCCUGGGCUACACUCGUGUUACAAUGGCCUGAACAGAGGGCAGCGAAGGAGCGAUCCGGAGCGAAUCCCAGAAAACAGGUCCCAGUUCAGAUUGCAGGCUGCAACCCGCUUGCAUGAAGACGUAUUUGCUAGUAAUCGCGGAUCAGCAUGCCGCGGUGAAUACGUUCCCGGGCCUUGUACACACCGCCCGUCACAC
rnacentral:rRNA from 1 species